GACGAACGCUGGCGGCGUGCUUAACACAUGCAAGUCGAACGGAGUUAUGUUUUCGGAUGUAACUUAGUGGCGAACGGGUGAGUAACGCGUGAGGAACCUGCCUUUCAGUGGGGGACAACAGUUGGAAACGACUGCUAAUACCGCAUAAUACUAUUGAGUGGCAUCACUUGAUAGUCAAAGAUUUAUUGCUGAAAGAUGGCCUCGCGUCUGAUUAGCUAGUUGGUGGGGUAACGGCCCACCAAGGCGACGAUCAGUAGCCGGACUGAGAGGUUGACCGGCCACAUUGGGACUGAGAUACGGCCCAGACUCCUACGGGAGGCAGCAGUGGGGAAUAUUGGGCAAUGGGCGAAAGCCUGACCCAGCAACGCCGCGUGAGGGAAGAAGGUCUUCGGAUUGUAAACCUCUGUUGAUAGGGAAGAAGAAAGUGACGGUACCUAUCGAGGAAGUCACGGCUAACUACGUG
rnacentral:rRNA from 1 species